CUGCGGUUCAUGGGGUCACAAAGAGUUGGACACAACUGAGAGACUGAACUGAACUGAGGUAUAAAGAGGCUUCUGCCCUCUAAGAAUAUCACCUUCUUUUGAAGUUUUUCUUCACAGAAGCUCAAAGUGGCCUAAAUAGUAUGUUUAAGGUCUCUGAAAAUUGGGAUGUAGUUAGAUCGAAGGACAAAUUAUCACUCGAAUGAUAAAUGAUAGUGUUUUCAACUCCUCAGUACGGUAUCUUUUCCAUGGUGAUCCUGUGACUAAAUGGUCUUCUCUCUCCAGGGAAGCCUCUGAAAUCUUCACACAGCAACUAGAACUGCAGCUCCGGAGCUGUGCGGGCUCUGCAGGAGUGCUGGCCACAUCUAAGCCCAGGGGCUACUUUCAGGGCUGCUCUGCUCUUACUUCAGAGACGAUGUCAGCUCUUUAUGAUGCAGGAGCCUGAGAACAAUGCCAGGGCAGCCUGGCCUCCUGUGUUCUUUACUAAGUGGUUAGUUGCCUGCCCAGUAGACUGAAAGCACCUUCUGCCAAAGAAAUGUGAGAAGAGUUGAAAACGUGCUAUUUGGAGACUAUUCUCCUAGUAGACAUCCAGGAGAUCUCCAGAGAUCUAAUUCAGCCUCACUUCUCCACAACUUCAUCAUGAAAAAGAGGAAGCCCAAACUGAAGUGAAUUAAAACUUUGCCUCCAAAAGGAUUGUGGCUUGGCCCUGAGUUGAGGUUUAUACGUAAGUGCAAUGAAGAAGAGUAACAGGAAAUCUCCCACAAGGAUCGACGAGAAAGAUGACAUCUGUGUCCCAGACUCCAAGGAUCAAGGAGAGCUUCAAAAUAUGUUGAAUGGAGGAGAAUACGCCCCUUUUGUAUCUCCUCCCAUAUUAGAAAGCAAUUUUAUCCAGGUCAACAGGAGAGGGGAAUCCAUUUACCUUCAUAACCGAGCCAACUGGGUGACCGUAGGCAUCUGCUCUUCCAGUCCCACCACCAAGACCCCUAACGUGAUGUUGCUGGCUCAUCUGACACCCACCGCCCAGAAAGAUUCAGAACCCCUGUUUACAAGUCUCCUGACAUCUCCUUCUCCAGAAAAUCUGGUGCUUACCAGGUUUCUCCCUCUGCAGUUUGUGACUCUCUCUGUACAUGAUGCCGAGAAUAUGCGCAUCAAAGUAAAGCUGGUGAGUGGCCGAGCCUACUACCUACAGCUCUGCGCCCCUGCAUGCAGACAAGAAGCCCUGUUCGGUCAGUGGGUAGAGCUCAUCUCCCUCUUGAAUAAGGAGAAAGCCAAAGCUUCCAAAGUGUCGGAAGUCUCCAGCCUCUCGGAAAUCACAAACAGCACAGACAUCACAGGCUCAGUGGACAUCAUGGAUAUAGCAGCCUUCCCCACCAUACAGACCUCACACCUGUCCACAUGUUCAGACCCCAACAACGAUGUAGAAAGCGUUGAUUUCUCGGAAUUCACAGACAUCACUGAUGUCACCGACGUCACGGAUAUUCCAGAAAAUGAGGUCACUGAGGCCCCAGAUAUAAAUAUUGUCACAGAAGUCACAGAAGUCACAGACAUCUGUGGAGUCACAGCAAGCUCAGGGGUCAGAGUGGUGUUUGAAAAUGAUGACAUACUCAAGGCCAAGCAGGAGGAAAAGGAAAAAAUGGAAAACGUUCUGAAGUCUGGGUGUUUACGAGAUACAAAAAGUAAGAAUGAGUUUAGAGAAUCCCCAAAACGUGUCACCAUCUCAAACCUAGCACUGACUUUCGAAGGUGAAAGAUGUUUUCAAACUACCUUGACUCCAGAAGAAGAUGAGACAGAGAAAUCCAAAGAGAUGAGCGACAGACCCCGCGAAAUAAGGACAAUGGACUCUGAAAGCACAACUCUCAAGGCUGAAGAAUCCAGGAGCAGGAGAACUGAUUCAGACACUUCAGGCUUGUACAGUUUUUCAAUUUUCCCUCUGAUUUGCAUUUCUUUCCCCUUUGCCACACUCCUCUGAAUCACUUUUUUCCCCUUUCACAUUCCCUUACUCACACUUAACACUCUUCACCCGAAGGAAGCAAAGAUUAGUAACCUUGUCCUAUUGAAUUUAGACUGAAUGUAGACUGAAUAUAAGUUUGUAAAUCUGAUUUCUAUUUUAGGCAGAAGCCAGAAUAAUAACUGUUCUCACAAGAGUAAAUCAAAUCACUGUUUCUAUUAACUUCAUCAGAUUCACAUUCAACAACUCUUGGGCAAGGCUAGUUGGGGACAGCAGUCUCCAAUUCUCUCUAACCUCUGAGCAGUUUGGAAGAAUUACACUUUUCCUCCUUUUUGAGUAGGGUUUCACGUAAAGCAGCACUUCAAAUGUACUGUUUUUAUGAAAAGUCUACAAGGUAGGGCCCAGGCUAAACCCAUCUCUUUGGAUCUGGGUCCAUCUCUCUCCUUUCUUGACUUUCCAUUUCUUACCUUUCUAAGAUUUAUUCUCUUUAAUUUUGCUGAUUUUCUUUACAAUGAGCCCAAACAGUAGGCUUAUCUAUGAUCCCCUGGCAUUUUUCCAAGAUGGAAAGAAAUGAGACAAAGAACAGAAAUUAAGAAAAGAAGAGAGAGAGAAAUCAUUUUUGAAAUACUGGCUAUGUCCUCCCCUCCCCCACCCAUCUAUCUUUUCCAUUUUCUUCUUAAUUAUGGCAAAUCAAACCCUUGGAAUCCUAAGAAGUAAUGGGAGAAUUCUAAAAGGGAAACUGAAAUUUAAUAAUGGGCUCCAUUGGAAAGAAUAAAGACAUUUUUGAUGAGGUUAGAAAAUCAUUUGAAUUUAAGACUCAAGUUCUCUCUUUCUGUUACUUUCUUCUCUCUGGUUCUUGGCCUUUUUCUUUCUUACUCAUUUCCUCUUUCUGAUGAUCUCACUUACACUUUGCUGGACUGUUUCCUGGCUCUCUGCUCUCCUGUCAAAUCCUCUCUAAAUUCCUCACUCUCGUGCCUCAUCUGUCGUCCCUUUCUCAGGGGAAUGGAUGUCAGGAAAGGAAAGUAAAACAGGAAAAGAAAAGGCCAGUGGAAAAAACGUGUAAGACAACUAAGAUAAAUGUAAACUACUAAAUUAAAAGCAAGCACAGCUCAAGAAAUAACAAUUGAAGGAAGGGAAAACAAAGCAGCAUCUUUCAUGUGGCAGAAAUAAAGGCUACUACUAAUCAUUAAGCAUUUGAUCCAUGUCAAUCUUUCUUAAAUCUUAAUGAUUGUUAAUUGUGGAUAUUGAUUUUAAAGUAGAGAACUAUAUACUUCAUAAACUCAAUUUUUAUCUGUAGGGCUUCUUUUCUGUGGGACUGUUGAAUGAAUAUGUUGUUCUCUUUGGUUUUACUUUUCUCAUUUGGACAUUACCCCACCACUGAUAGCAUAUUGAAAAGCAGAGACAUUACUUUGCCAACAAAGGUCCAUCUAGUCACGGUUAUGGUUUUUCCAGUGGCCAUGUAUGGAUGUGAGAGUUGGACUGUGAAGAAAGCUGAGCA